UUGUUUAGCCUAAUCUGGAUUGAAUACGUCUGAUCUCAGAAGCUAAGGAAUCUUGGACCUGACUAGAAUUUAGAUGAGAGGCCACUUAGAAAUCCCAGGUGCUAUAGGUC
rnacentral:rRNA from 1 species